UACGUAGGGUGCGAGCGUUGUCCGGAUUUAUUGGGCGUAAAGAGCUCGUAGGUGGUGUGUUGCGUCGAUCGUGAAAACCUGCAGCUUAACUGUGGGCGUGCGGUUGAUACGGGCAUACUUGAGUUCGGUAGGGGAGACUGGAAUUCCUGGUGUAGCGGUGAAAUGCGCAGAUAUCAGGAGGAACACCGGUGGCGAAGGCGGGUCUCUGGGCCGAUACUGACGCUGAGGAGCGAAAGCGUGGGGAGCGAACAGG
rnacentral:rRNA from 1 species